UAGGGAAUCUUCCACAAUGGACGCAAGUCUGAUGGAGCAACGCCGCGUAAGUGAAGAAGGUCUUCGGAUCGUAAAGCUCUGUUGUUGGUAAAGAAGGAUAGAGGCAGUAACUGGUCUUUAUUUGACGGUAAUCAACCAGAAAGUCACGGCUAACUACGUGCCAGCAGCCGCGGUAAUACGUAGGUGGCAAGCGUUGUCCGGAUUUAUUGGGCGUAAAGCGAGCGCAGGCGGAAUGAUAAGUCUGAUGUGAAAGCCCACGGCUCAACCGUGGAACUGCAUCGGAAACUGUCAUUCUUGAGUGCAGAAGAGGAGAGUGGAACUCCAUGUGUAGCGGUGGAAUGCGUAGAUAUAUGGAAGAACACCAGUGGCGAAGGCGGCUCUCUGGUCUGCAACUGACGCUGAGGCUCGAAAGCAUGGGUAGCGAACAGGAUUAGAUACCCUGGUAGUCCAUGCCGUAAACGAUGAGCGCUAGGUGUUGGGGACUUUCCGGUCCUCAGUGCCGCAGCAAACGCAUUAAGCGCUCCG
rnacentral:rRNA from 1 species